rnacentral:rRNA from 1 species
UACGUAGGGAGCAAGCGUUGUCCGGAUUUAUUGGGCGUAAAGAGCUCGUAGGCGGCUUAGAAAGUCAGGUGUGAAACCUCCAGGCUCAACCUGGAGACGCCACUUGAUACUUCUAUGGCUUGAGUUCGGUAGGGGAUCACGGAAUUCCUGGUGUAGCGGUGAAAUGCGCAGAUAUCAGGAGGAACACCGAUGGCGAAGGCAGUGAUCUGGGCCGAUACUGACGCUGAGGAGCGAAAGCGUGGGGAGCGAACAGG